ACGCUGGCGGCAUGCCUAACACAUGCAAGUCGAACGAUGCCUUCGGGCAUAGUGGCGCACGGGUGCGUAACGCGUGGGAAUCUGCCCUUGGGUUCGGAAUAACUCAGAGAAAUUUGAGCUAAUACCGGAUGAUGACGUAAGUCCAAAGAUUUAUCGCCCAAGGAUGAGCCCGCGUAAGAUUAGCUAGUUGGUGGGGUAAAGGCCUACCAAGGCGACGAUCUUUAGCUGGUCUGAGAGGAUGAUCAGCCACACUGGGACUGAGACACGGCCCAGACUCCUACGGGAGGCAGCAGUGGGGAAUAUUGGACAAUGGGCGAAAGCCUGAUCCAGCAAUGCCGCGUGAGUGAUGAAGGCCUUAGGGUUGUAAAGCUCUUUACCAGGGAUGAUAAUGACAGUACCUGGAGAAUAAGCUCCGGCUAACUCCGUG
rnacentral:rRNA from 1 species